UUCAUAAUAACUUAGCGAAUCGCAUUAGCCUUUGUGCUGGCGAUGGUACAUUCAAAAUUUUCUGCCCUAUCAAUUUGAUGGUAGGAUAGAGGCCUACCAUGGUUUUUACGGGUGACGGAGAAUUAGGGUUCGAUUCCGGAGAGGGGAGCCUGAGAGAUGGCUACCACUUCUAAGGAAGGCAGCAGGCGCGCAAAAUUACCCAAUCCUGAUACAGGGAGGUAGUGACAAGAAAUAACAAUACAGGUCCCAAUACGGGCCUUGUAAUUGGAAUGAGUACAAUUUAAACCCCUUAAUGAGUAACAAUUGGAGGGCAAGUCUGGUGCCAGCAGCCGCGGUAAUUCCAGCUCCAAUAGCAUAUAUUAAAUUUGUUGCAGUUAAAAGCUCGUAGUUGGAUCUCGGAACAGGGAAUAACGUGGUCUGCCGGUUGGUAUGUACUGUU
rnacentral:rRNA from 1 species